CAUUUGGCGCAUUUGUGAGGGCAACACCAUGGUGAAGGGCCCGAUAGGGGUGCGGAAGAGCAAGCGAGUGAGCACACGGGCUGGGUGUCAAAAGCUCU
ensembl:ncRNA K04B12.7 ncRNA